rnacentral:rRNA from 1 species
GACGAACGCUGGCGGCGUGCUUAACACAUGCAAGUCGAACGGAAAGGCCCUGCUUUUGUGGGGUGCUCGAGUGGCGAACGGGUGAGUAACACGUGAGUAACCUGCCCUUGACUUUGGGAUAUCUUCAGGAAACUGGGGCUAAUACCGGAUAGGAGCUCCUGCUGCAUGGUGGGGGUUGGAAAGUUUCGGCGGUUGGGGAUGGACUCGCGGCUUAUCAGCUUGUUGGUGGGGUAGUGGCUUACCAAGGCUUUGACGUGUAGCCGGCCUGGGAGGGUGACCGGCCACAUUGGGACUGAGAUACGGCCCAGACGCCUACGGGAGGCAGCAGUGGGGAAUAUUGCACAAUGGGCGGAAGCCUGAUGCAGCAACGCCGCGUGCGGGAUGACGGCGUUCGGGUUGUAAACCGCUUUCGCCUGUGACGAAGCGUGAGUGACGGUAAUGGGUAAAGAAGCACCGGCUAACUACGU